UAGACGGUAGGGUAUUGGCCUACCGUGGCUAUGACGGGUAACGGGGAAUUAGGGUUCGAUUCCGGAGAGGGAGCCUGAGAAACGGCUACCACAUCUAAGGAAGGCAGCAGGCGCGCAAAUUACCCAAUCCUAAUACAGGGAGGUAGUGACAAGAAAUAACAAUACAGAACCUCACGGUUUUGUAAUUGGAAUGAGUUAAGUAUAAACCCCUUAACGAGUAUCAAUUGGAGGGCAAGUCUGGUGCCAGCAGCCGCGGUAAUUCCAGCUCCAAUAGCGUAUAUUAAAGUUGUUGCAGUUAAAAAGCUCGUAGUUGAUUUUCUGUUAAUUUUUAUGUAUAAUAUUGCGAUAUUUACAUAAUAUUAACAUAAUUCACAUUACUUUACAGUAUGUGGAAYUUUACUUUGAGAAAAUUAGAGUGCUUAAAGCAGGCUAUUGCCUUGAAUACUCCAGCAUGGAAUAAUAUUAAGGAUUUUUAUUCUUCUUAUUGGUUCUAGAAUAAAAAUAA
rnacentral:rRNA from 1 species